rnacentral:rRNA from 1 species
UUUGCUCGAUCUGUAUGGGCCAUUGUCCAAAUAGCUUCGAAUCUAUAUCCUCCACGUAGUGCACGGAAUAUGUUCGACAAUUGGUUGAGGGGUAUAGAUAAACAAUUUUCUAAACACAUUCUUGUGGGGGCGGCUGCCUUAUGUUGGGCACUGUGGCUCACUAGGAAUGACAUUGUUUUUAACCGUAAAUGCGUUUCAUCCCCUAUGCAGGUUAUUCAUAUAUGUUCGCGAUGGCUCCGUAUGUGGUCUAUCUUGCAGAGGCCGGAGGACAGAGACCUUUUAUGA